GAAAUGCGAUACUUUGUGUGAAUAGCAGAAUCCCGUGAACCAUCGAGUCUUUGAACGCAAGUUGCGCCCGAAGCCUUCUGGUCGAGGGCACGUUUGCCUGGGCGUCACGCAUCUCAUCUCCCCCCCACCCCACCCUUGUGUGGGAAAAGGGGGAGGAGGAUGGCCUCCCACGCCUCACCGGGCGUGGCUGGCCUAAAAACGGAGCCUCAGGUCACGGACUUCUGCGGCGUAUGGUGGUAUACAAGGCAUUGCCUAGGAAGCAUUGCGUCGCGCAGAACGUAGCCCGCGAGGACUCGUAGGACCCUAACUUUGUUUUCUCACGGCGGCAAAACCGUUGCGACCCCAGGUUAGGCGGGGUUACCCGCUGAGUUUAA
rnacentral:misc_RNA from 1 species